CCUACGGGUGGCAGCAGUGAGGAAUAUUGGUCAAUGGCCGGAAGGCUGAACCAGCCAAGCCGCGUGAAGGACGAAGGUGCCAAGCAUUGUAAACUUCUUUUGUCAAGGGACAAAAUCAGGCUCGAGUGCCUGAUUGAGGGUACUUGAAGAAUAAGCAUCGGCUAACUACGUGCCAGCAGCCGCGGUAAUACGGAGGUGGCAAGCGUUGUCCGGAUUUACUGGGUUUAAAGGGCGUGUAGGCGGGCUGACAAGUCAGAUGUGAAAUUCGGUGGCUCAACCCUCGAACUGCAGUUGAAACUGUUGGUCUUGAGUAUGGGUGAGGCAGGCGGAAUGCGUGGUGUAGCGGUGAAAUGCGUAGAUAUUAGGAAGAACACCGGUGGCGAAGGCGGCCUGCUAGACGACGACUGACGGUGAGGCGCGAAAGCGUGGGGAGCAAACAGGAUUAGAUACCCCUGUAGUC
rnacentral:rRNA from 1 species